rnacentral:rRNA from 1 species
UACAGAGGGUGCAAGCGUUAAUCGGAAUUACUGGGCGUAAAGCGUGCGUAGGCGGUUAUUUAAGUCGGGUGUGAAAGCCCCGGGCUCAACCUGGGAAUUGCAUUCGAUACUGGAUAGCUAGAGUUCGGCAGAGGGAAGCGGAAUUUCCGGUGUAGCGGUGAAAUGCGUAGAUAUCGGAAGGAACAUCAGUGGCGAAAGCGGCUUCCUGGACCAGAACUGACGAUCAGGCACGAAAGCGUGGGGAGCAAACAGG